AGCGAAAUACAUCGCGAAUGCACCGUGCACGAAGACAACUUCUCAAUGCGUAUAAUACAGCGCGGAGUCUGAAACAGCCCGAAACAUCCUUUCAAAAUGGCUUUUAUUAUCCACUGGAAUUGUAGAGGGCUCUUACGCUACUAGGUGACAUCAAAGACAUAUGUUAGGGGCGACAGAACACCACCACUAUGAAGAAGCUUACAACAUUCACCGAGCAAAUCCUCCGGAUGAUACAUCGUACCAGAAAUAAGCACCAUGGCAUGAUGGAAAGGGACGCCAUCCACCUAGUGCAAGCUUUCGUGAUCUCUCGGAUAAUGAACGGAACGGCAUUGCUUAACCUCUCCAAGUCGGAAAUUGAAAAGUUGGAGACACUGAUCAGGAAAGUCUACAAAACGGCACUGGGGCUACCAACUCCACGCCAACGGCAAAGCUCAUGGCUCUAGGAGUACAUAAUACUCUCAAAGAGUGGUGGGAAGCACAAUGCCUCUCACAACUCAAUAGGCUCGCACUCACAAAACCAGGUAGAGAUCUGCUCGAAAAGAUCCAUAUUAAUCUGCCCUAUACGAUAGACCAAAGGGAAGAGGUACCACGUGAUGUUAGGCGACGCAUCAAUGCGUACCCCAUUCCGCGGAACAUGCAUCCCGCCUAUGACAUCGAAAGGAGAAAAGCAAGAGGGGAAGCCCUGCAGAAGAAAUGGGACGAGCAACCUAACACCCUUCACGCGGACGCCGCAGGACCAAAGAAUUGAGUUAUGACUAUCGUGGUCUCAACGCCUUCAGGAUCGAUGGUGAACUGCGUCUCGAUGAAAACAUCCAACCCCACUCACGCAGAGGAAGCAGCUGUUGCAUUAGCUAUAGUAUCUAACCCCAACCCCGAUGUGCUCACUGAUUCCCAGAACGCCUGUCGCAACUUCAAUAAUGGAUUAAUUCACAGGUCAGGGUUGUCAUUGCUGAUUAAGCAUCUACCCAGCCAAGCCUCAGUCAUCUGGUUUCCCGGUCACCUGGAACUACCAGGAGGAAACGAAGCCGCUCACAGGCAUGCCCGGGCUCUUCUGUACCGGGCGUCUCCCCCUAAUGACCUUGAAGGGUGCUGCGACCUAACUGUUUUAGCAGUGUAUGCUGACAAUCUCGCACCAUAGAGAACAGCUAGGAAGGAGUACCCAACACCACAUAAAUCCCCCAAUAAGUUAGAAUAGAACACCCUUAGGAGACUUAGGAGACAAACCAAUGCAUACCCAACGCCAUCUAAGUUACACCAGUGGUACCCUGUACUAUACUCUCCGCAAUGCCCACACUGUCUGGUGGGGAGGGCCAGCGCAGCAGCAAUAACCAGUGGACUACCGGACUAGGCGGCUCACCUACGAGCUCUACGAAUAUUCAGCAAAUAAAUAUGUUUUCAAUCAGUCAA